GAUGAACGCUAGCGGCAGGCUUAAUACAUGCAAGUCGAGGGACAGCACAGGUAGCAAUACUGGGUGGUAACCGGCAAACGGGUGCGGAACACGUACACAACCUUCCUUUAAGUGGGGGAUAGCCCAGAAAAAUUUGGAUUAAUACCCCGUAAUAGAGUUGAAUGGCAUCAUUUGAUUAUUAUAGCUACGGCGCUUAAUGAUGGGUGUGUGGCUGAUUGGAUAGUUGGCGGGGUAACGGCCCACCAAGUCUACGAUCAGUAGCUGAUGUGAGAGCAUGAUCAGCCACACGGGCACUGAGCCACGGGCCCGACUACUACGGGAGGCAGCAGUAAGGAAUAUUGGUCAAUGGACGCAAGUCUGAACCAGCCAUGCCGCGUGAAGGAUUAAGGUCCUCUGGAUUGUAAACUUCUUUUAUUUGGGACGAAAAAGGGCCUUUCUAGGUCAACUGACGGUACCAGAUGAAUAAGCACCGGCUAACUCCGUGCCAGCCGCCGCCGUAAUAC
rnacentral:rRNA from 1 species